rnacentral:rRNA from 1 species
UAGGGAAUCUUCGGCAAUGGACGAAAGUCUGACCGAGCAACGCCGCGUGAGUGAAGAAGGUUUUCGGAUCGUAAAACUCUGUUGUUAGAGAAGAACAAGGACGUUAGUAACUGAACGUCCCCUGACGGUAUCUAACCAGAAAGCCACGGCUAACUACGUGCCAGCAGCCGCGGUAAUACGUAGGUGGCAAGCGUUGUCCGGAUUUAUUGGGCGUAAAGCGAGCGCAGGCGGUUUCUUAAGUCUGAUGUGAAAGCCCCCGGCUCAACCGGGGAGGGUCAUUGGAAACUGGGAGGCUUGAGUGCAGAAGAGGGGAGUGGAAUUCCAUGUGUAGCGGUGAAAUGCGUAGAUAGAUGGAGGAACACCAGUGGCGAAGGCGGCUCUCUGGUCUGUAACUAACGCUGAGGCUCGAAAGCGUGGGGAGCAAACAGG